CCUACGGGUGGCAGCAGUGAGGAAUAUUGGUCAAUGGGCGAGAGCCAGAACCAGCCAAGUCGCGUGAGGGAGUACUGCCCUAUGGGUUGUAAACCUCUUUUGUCGGGGAGCAAAAGCCGGACGUGUCCGGCUGUGAGAGUACCCGACGAAAAAGCAUCGGCUAACUCCGUGCCAGCAGCCGCGGUAAUACGGAGGAUGCGAGCGUUAUCCGGAUUUAUUGGGUUUAAAGGGUGCGCAGGCGGAUUUUUAAGUCAGCGGUAAAAUCGUGGGGCUCAACCCCAUCCAGCCGUUGAAACUGGGGAUCUAGAGUGUGCGAGAGGUAUGCGGAAUGCGUGGUGUAGCGGUGAAAUGCAUAGAUAUCACGCAGAACCCCGAUUGCGAAGGCAGCAUACCGGUGCACAACUGACGCUCAGGCACGAAAGCGUGGGUAUCGAACAGGAUUAGAUACCCCUGUAGUC
rnacentral:rRNA from 1 species